GCAGUGGCUGUCGUCAGCGUCGUGUUGUGAAAUGUUGGGUUAAGUCCCGCAACGAGCGCAACCCUUAUCCUUUGUUGCCAGCGGGUUAUGCCGGGAACUCAAAGGAGACUGCCAGUGAUAAACUGGAGGAAGGUGGGGAUGACGUCAAGUCAUCAUGGCCCUUACGAGUAGGGCUACACACGUGCUACAAUGGCGCAUACAAAGAGAAGCGACCUCGCGAGAGCAAGCGGACCUCAUAAAGUGCGUCGUAGUCCGGAUUGGAGUCUGCAACUCGACUCCAUGAAGUCGGAAUCGCUAGUAAUCGUAGAUCAGAAUGCUACGGUGAAUACGUUCCCCCGGGCCUUGUACACACCGCCCGUCACACCAUGGGAGUGGGUUGCAAAAGAAGUAGGUAGCUUAACCUUCGGGAGGGCGCUUACCACUUUGUGAUUCAUGACUGGGGUGAAGUCGUAACAAGGUAAGCGUAGUGCU
rnacentral:rRNA from 1 species